rnacentral:rRNA from 1 species
UACGAAGGGGGCUAGCGUUGUUCGGAAUUACUGGGCGUAAAGCGUGCGCAGGCGGCUUCUCAAGUCAGGGGUGAAAGCCCAGAGCUCAACUCUGGAAUUGCCUUUGAGACUGAGUGGCUUGAGUACGAGAGAGGUGAGUGGAAUUCCUAGUGUAGAGGUGAAAUUCGUAGAUAUUGGGAAGAACACCGGUGGCGAAGGCGGGUCUCUGGGCCGUAACUGACGCUGAGGAGCGAAAGCGUGGGGAGCGAACAGG